GACAGAGGAUGCAAGCGUUAUCCGGAAUGAUUGGGCGUAAAGCGUCUGUAGGUGGCUUUUUUAAGUCCGCCGUCAAAUCCCCAGGGCUCAACCCUGGACAGGCGGUGGAAACUACCAAGCUGGAGUACGGUAGGGGCAGGAGGGAAUUUUCCGGUGGAGCGGUGAAAUGCGUAGAGAUCGGAAAGAACACCAACGGCGAAAGCACUCUGCUGGCCGACACUGACACUGAGAGACGAAGCUAGGAGCGAAUGG
rnacentral:rRNA from 1 species